GACGAACGCUGGCGGCGCGCUUAAUACAUGCAAGUCGAACGGUGAACGGGGCUUCGGCCCCGGGAUCAGUGGCGAACGGGUGCGUAACACGUGGGCAACCUGCCCCUCACUCUGGGAUAACCCCGGGAAACCGGAGCUAAUACCGGAUACUCCGCGCGAGCCGCAUGGCUCGAACGGGAAAGGUCCGCCGGGGAGGGAUGGGCCCGCGGCCUAUCAGCUUGUUGGUGAGGUAACGGCUCACCAAGGCUUCGACGGGUAGCUGGUCUGAGAGGACGACCAGCCACACUGGGACUGAGAUACGGCCCAGACUCCUACGGGAGGCAGCAGUAGGGAAUCUUGCGCAAUGGGCGAAAGCCUGACGCAGCGACGCCGCGUGGGGGAUGAAGGCCCUCGGGUUGUAAACCCCUUUCGGCAGGGACGAAGCGAUCGUGACGGUACCUGCAGAAGAAGCCUCGGCUAACUACGUGCCAGCCGCCGCCGUAACAC
rnacentral:rRNA from 1 species